CCCCCCCUUCUCCCACGUUUCUGCCACUACCGCCAAUCUCACCGCCGCCGGCCUCAGUACCACCACCCGCCGCCGCCUCCUCUCUCUCCUCUCUCUCUCUCUCUCUCUCUCUCUCUCUCUCUCUCGUCGCCGUACCGCCGCCACCACCGCUGCGGAUCCGUCUCAUCCACCGUCGCCGAGGCCCUCCCCAGCCGCCGUGCGUGUCGCUGCCGCCGCUGUGCAUGCACAAGCGGCGGCUCCGGCACCUCCCCCCUAUGCCGUUGCUUCACCACCGCCAGCCUCCCCCACACUCUGCGACCACUGACUCCACUCUCCGACAACACCACAACCGCCAUCCACCUCCUCCAGUUGGGAGGGACUCGGUUCAAGCUCGGCUGUCCGUGUUAAAGUAUCCGAUUUUUCGUAGGAUGUAUAAAAUUAAAUUUCAGAUUUGUUGUCAACAUUGUUGAUCAUACAAGCAAUGUUUCCCUUUUGUUGUGGGAUAGAGAAGUUGUGCAGCUUACGGGGAAAAAGGUUACUGAUGUGAAUGGAAGUACUAUUGAGGUAUAUUUAUAAUAACUGGUAUUCAAUUUAUUUGCUGGGUUAGUUUUGAUUUGAUUGUUGUUGUUGUAGAAAUCUCCAAUGGAUUAUAUUCCUAGGGAAGUUGAAGAGUAGCUUGUGGGUCAAAAUGUGUUGUUCAAAGUUCAACUCAUAAAUAGCAAGGAGUAUUAUCAUAAUUAUCCAGAUACUGUUAUCAAAGUGUGUAAUAUCCUAGAAAUUGUUGAGAAGUGUGUUAAACAGAACAUUGAAUCACAAAUUCUAAACUCUGAUGUGAAGUUGUCUGAUAUACUAUUUGGAUCCAAUAUUGCAGAGGUAACUUGAACAAUAGUUGAGAACUACGUGUCACUUAUAUUGAAUUGAUUUAGAAUUGAAUAGACAUUUAACUUCUUUUGAGGUUACUGAUAAAGGUUUGUAUCACCUGAUCUAUCUGUUGUAACUAAAGAGAAUGUCAAUGAAUGGAUUGCUGAAGGCAGUGUGAAGCAAUGCCUGGAUUCUGAAUUUGAUAAUUGCGAUGAUGUUUGUGUUAGUUAGAUCAAGAAGAAGAAGAAAGAGAAUGUGAUUGAAGAGGAUGAUGAUGAUCUUAUUAGCAACAGUCAGGAGAUAGCUCUUGGUGAUUAGACUGUGGACAUUAUUUGGAGUUUUUCAGUUUUCCAAUCUCAUUUUUUUUCUUUUUUGAACUGAUCAGAAUGUUUAUAUUAGUUUGGUCUGGGAUUUGGUUGAUGGAUUAUGUUACUUAAGUUAAUUGUUAUGGAGUUGUUGUUUUGGAAUUACAGGUUUGGGUUUUUGGGAAGACUUCUAAGAUGAAUCUUUGCUAAUGCCUUGGUUAUUUAAUGAAGGUUCUGUUUUGAGCUAUUUUUAGUUA